rnacentral:misc_RNA from 1 species
UAAGCUAACAAUCUCGGUUCUCAGUCAGAUCGAUCCUCAAUAUCAUCCCUAGAACAGUUAUCAAAACAACCACAUAGAUUAAGUGCAAUGGGAAAAUAAGGUUAGAUGUGAAUGAUUAAUGGACCCAUUGAAUGUCGCGACGUACCGGCUGAAGAAUAGAACAAGUAUCAUUUUUUGAUGAUUAAGUGGGGCGAGUGAAGCGCAAUAGGGGCCACGAUGAAUAUAUGUAUACUUGCAAUGAGUGAGACAAACUAUUUUGGAGGGGAGAUAUGACUAUUAGGUUGCGAGAGACGAAAAAAACAAGAAGAAAAGAGAAGGGCGUGCAUUAAUACUUGGCACACUCGUUUUCGGUACUUGUCUAUUGCCAGCCCUGAUACUUGAUGCGCGCGCUUAGUGUCUUUUGUGGCGGGGAUUCUCCCGAAAGAGGGAGACUCUAAUAAUAUGAAGAUGGUUAUCAAUAAAAAAAAUUUUAAUUCCAUAAAAAAAUUAUCAAUUAUUUCAACAAUAAGUUUUAGUUAUUUUAAAAAUUCUGUAUAGAAAAGAAGCAAGAAAUUGUGAUGAUUUUAAAUGAUAUUUUAUUUUUGAGUGAGAUUGUAGACAAAUGAGUCAUGGAAUUGAAGAAGUGACGUUAGAGAAAACAUUUAGGGUAGAAAGUAAAAGUGAAUUUGACGAGGAAUGAGAAUUGGAGAUGCAAAGCGUGAGUGAGAAGAAGAAAAAAGAGCGCGGGAGGGAAGGUAACAUUUGUGAGAGGGGAUAAUGUAUAGUGCUUGAGACGUAGGGAGUUUUAGCAACGAGGAGAGGGCAACGAGAGUAGGAGGGAGGUGAAGCUAAAGCCGUCGACGGUUGAAAGCGCAUACCAUCCCAUAAUUCGGUGCGCCGCCCCGCAAUCAGAAAGAAGAGUAAAACGAGAAGGAAAGGCGGCCGCUGAUGUAAAGACUGACAAGGGAAUAUAAUAUGAUAAAACUGGAGUCAAAAGGAAAACUUGGGAUACUUGAAUUUUUGUGUUAAAAAAUGGAGUUAUAAAAAUCAACACAUUAAGGUAACACACCCAAGUGAAUAAAUCUCAGCAAGAGUUGAUUAAAUCCAAAAAGAUUAGAGCAAAAAUAUAUAGUGAGUUGAUGAAUUGAGUGAAGGUAAAGAAAAAUAAGAAAAAAAGUGAUAUUUGAGUUGAAGUGAGGUGCCAGUGUGGGCACAAUAGCACCUCUGGUACCCUCGGCCGUGGGUCCCGAGGGGGUGGACGCCAUGGCGGCCUCUUCGUCAUCCUCGAUUAGUGAGCAACAGUAUUCGCUCAGAUGGAAUGACUUCCACUCGAGCAUUCUCAGCUCCUUUCGACAUCUUCGCGAUGAAGAGGAUUUUGUCGAUGUUACACUAGCCUGUGACAGCAGCAGCUUCUACGCACACAAAGUCGUUUUGUCAGCAUGCAGCCCCUACUUCCGGAGACUUUUGAAGGCAAAUCCGUGCCAACAUCCAAUAGUAAUUCUCAGGGAUGUAGCAUCAUCAGAUAUGGAGUCCCUAUUAAGGUUUAUGUACCACGGGGAAGUCCAUGUAGGUCAGGAACAACUGGCUGCAUUCUUAAAAACUGCUCAAAUGCUUCAAGUUCGAGGCCUUGCGGAUGUUAACAGCAGUUCAGCAGGAUCAAAAUUACCUUCUGGAUCAAGUGGUCGCGAAAAUGAAUCACCAGUAACGUCAAGAAACACGUGGCACGAUCGAGGUGACCCAAGUGACAGUGGUCUUAGUCCACCACCUGAGAAAAGAUCUAAGAGCUACUCUCCACCCGUGGGAAAUCAUCUUGAACAUAAGGCUGAGCUUCAGGAGUCUCUUUUAGGUCAAGCCCUUGAAGGAGGUCCUACGAUACAUACAACACCAAGCAAUAACAUUCAGGCUCAAUCCACUGGAGAAGACUCUAACUCUGUGUCUGAUAAUGAUGAAGACAUAUCGAACAAUGACAGUAUCCUGAACUCUGUGAAAGCUGAGCCUAAUGAUAUUCUUAAUGACUCCAUGGAGCAUCAUCGUAACACAUUCCCUGCCGCUCUUUUAGGACUUCAAGGAUUAAUGCCAGGGCCUUCCGGAAUUCACGCAGCAAACCAGGAUCCAAAUUACGGAUCGGUGAUGCCAAAGAGGGAGGAAACGUUGAUGUCGGCAGCGGAGAACACGUCGCAGGCAGCAGAGAAUUUGGCUAGACUUUACUCGGCACUUCGUCACGACGACAGUAAACCUGUAUGCCGGUAUUGCGGGAGAUGUUACUCUUCACCAAGCAACCUACGGCAACAUGUUAAAAACGUCCACUCUGAUUGGCCUCCACCAGAAACGUGGCCACAGUGUAACGUCUGUGGUAAAAGAUGCAAAACCAAACACUACUUGAUUAAUCAUCAAUUACAAGCACAUGGUAUCCAUCAAAGACCGAGUUUGAAUAAUCCUAAUCAGCAUCAGUCGAUGCCAUGAAACUUGAUUCUGUCAGCCAUUUCAUGCAGCCCUUGAUGGGGUGACUUGAUCUCCGAAAAUAAUCAGCCACUUAAUAUGACAGUAAAGAUGGACGGGGUGCAGCUUCUGGCCACCACCACCAGACGGAGACUACUAUUGUGAAAAUCGAGGAUGACGAGAGUUUGGACGACAUCAUGGAUGCUGGGCC